GAUUAACGCUGGCGGCGUGCAUAACACAUGCAAGUCGAACGAUGAAACUAAACUGAUUUCUUCGGAAUGAUUUUAAGUGGAUUAGUGGCGGACGGGUGAGUAACUCGCGAGUAACCUGCCUUGGAGAAGGGGAUAGCCUUCGGAUACGAAGAAUAAUACCCUAUGAUAUGAUAAUAUCUCAUGAUAUUAUCAUCAAAGAUUUAUCGCUCUAAGAUGGACUUGCGUCUGAUUAGUUAGUUGGUGAGGUAACAGCUCACCAAGGCAGCGAGCAGUAGCCGGCUUGAGGGAGCGGACGGCCCUACUGGGACUGAGACACGGACCAAACUCCUCGGGGAGGCAGCAGUGGGGAAGUUGGCACGAUGGGGGAAACACGGAUGCAGCGACGCCGCGAGAUUCAGAAGGCAUUGAGGAUGUAAAAAGCUUUUGUCUGGGAAGAAAUUGACAGUACCAAACGAAUAAGCACCGGCUAAUUACGUG
rnacentral:rRNA from 1 species